rnacentral:rRNA from 1 species
UGGCGAACGGGUGAGUAACGCGUGAGGAACCUGCCUCAAAGAGGGGGACAACAGUUGGAAACGACUGCUAAUACCACAUAAGCCCACGGGUCGGCAUCGACCUGAGGGAAAAGGAGCAAUCCGCUUUGAGAUGGCCUCGCGUCCGAUUAGCUAGUUGGUGAGGUAACGGCCCACCAAGGCGACGAUCGGUAGCCGGACUGAGAGGUUGAACGGCCACAUUGGGACUGAGACACGGCCCAG